AGUGAAGGGAAGGGAUAAGAUGAGAGACAGAGAGAGUGGGUUGGGAAUAAGAGAGAUUGUCUAGAAAUCAAGAAUGUUGUAUGUUUAGUUAUGAUAUUCUCAAUACAACUUCCUUGAAUUUAGGAACCAACUCCUAACCAGUCAGCUUUAUUAACAGAUCAUGUUUGAUUAAUUGACUGCCAAGUCUGAACAUUUCUUCUAUCGAUUUCUUCUGUUCUUUUGAAUUUGUGAAAGUUCAGAAAAUGACUUUGUGCAAAAGCAUGAACUUAUUUGCCUUCAAAAUGGUUUAGUUUUCCCUUUAACCAUUGACCAAUUUUCCUGAGCAUUCCAAACACUAAAAGAAGUAAAAUAAAUGAUUUCGAGGAAAGUAUUUUCUGUGAAAUGAAGGGAGCCUUAGAGUUAACUUUGUUUAUUCUGCUGCUAAGAUGCAUCAGUUGAUCCAUUGUGCUAAUUUUUGUUGGAGGUGGUUCAGAAAAUUU
rnacentral:misc_RNA from 1 species